rnacentral:rRNA from 1 species
CGCCAGGAGCAUCGCUGGUUGGCUACGUACGGAAGGGAUAACCGCUGAAAGCAUCUAAGCGGGAAGCCUGUUUUAAGAUGAGGUUUCAUUUGAGGUCCCCUAAAGACUAUGGGGUUGAUAGGCCAGACAUGGAAGCACCGCAAGGUGUGGAGUCUACUGGUACUAAUAGACCAAAACAAACACACACGAC